rnacentral:rRNA from 1 species
UGGGGAAUCUUGCGCAAUGGCCGAAAGGCUGACGCAGCGACGCCGCGUGGGGGAUGAAGGUCUUCGGAUCGUAAACCCCUGUUGCCCGGGACGAAACCGCUCUUUCGAGAGCAUUGACGGUACCGGGUGAGGAAGCACCGGCUAACUCCGUGCCAGCAGCCGCGGUAAUACGGAGGGUGCGAGCGUUGUCCGGAAUCACUGGGCGUAAAGGGCGCGUAGGUGGCGCGAGAAGUCCGUGGUGAAAGCUCGAAGCUCAACUUCGAGUCGGCCCCGGAGACUCUCGUGCUCGAGUAUGGUAGAGGCUAAUGGAAUUCCGGGUGUAGCGGUGGAAUGCGUAGAGAUCCGGAAGAACACCGGUGGCGAAGGCGGUUAGCUGGGCCAUUACUGACACUGAUGCGCGACAGCGUGGGGAGCAAACAGGAUUAGAUACCCCUGUAGUCC